rnacentral:rRNA from 1 species
UUUUUAAAGAAAUAAUUUUAAAUAAAGCCUGCUCAAUGUUCAAUAAAUAGCCGCAGAAAUUUACUGUGCUAAGGUAGCAUAAUCAUUAGUUUCUUAAUUAGAAACCAGUAUGAACGACUUAACAUCCCAUUUUCUUUUUUAAUCAUUUUUAAAUGAAAUUUUAUUAAAUAUAAAAAUAUAUUUAUACAAAAAUUAGACGACAAGACCCCAUCGACCUUUACUGAAGUUAAGCUGGGGAAGCCAAUUAAUAAUUAUUUUAAUUUUUUUUAUAAAAAGACCCAAUAAAAUUGAUAAUUGAUUAAGUUACCGUGGGGAUAACAGCGUAAUAUUUUUCUAAAGCUCUAAUUUAAAAAAAAGUUUGCGACCUCGAUGUUGAAUUAUUUAGCUAAAAAACGCAAAAGUUUUAAAAGCGGGUCUGUUCGACCCUUAAAUUUUUACA